GGAAGUGGAGAGGAGCGGCGUUGCCAUGGCGGCGACCCUGGGGCAGGUGCUGGCUCUGGUGCUGGUGGCCGCUCUGUGGGGUGGCACACAGCCGCUGCUGAAGCGGGCCUCCUCGCACCUGCAGCAGGUUCAUGAGCGGACGUGGGCCCGGCAGUUGCUGCAGGAGACGAAGACCCUCUUCUUGAAUACUGAGUACCUGCUGCCCUUUUCCCUCAACCAGUGUGGCUCCCUUCUCUACUACCUCACCUUGGCAUCAACAGAUCUGACCCUAGCUGUGCCCAUCAGUAACUCUCUGGCCAUCAUCUUUACACUGAUUGUUGGGAAGGUCCUUGGAGAAGAUAUCGGUGGAAAACCACACUUUCUGCUGUCAUGUCAGGCCCCAGGCCCCAGGCCUGCCACUGUUCCUGUGCCUGACCCAGACUAUCCCAGCAGCUGGUUGGUGGACCGCAGAACUCCAGCCGCAAGAAGAGAGCCAGCUAUAGUCUUUGAGCCAGAAAUGCAAACAGGAGGGCUCCAGGGCUCAGCCUUGGCUGGCUGAGGAGGGAACUGAGGGGAAGGUGCAUAAGAACAGCAGACGUUGGGGAGAGGGGUUUGCUGUUAGCCCUGCCUGUCCCUCCUGUGAGGUGGGUGCCGGCCCCUCUCAAACCGAUCGACAUCUAUGGGCCCCCGCACUGCCAGACCCCAACGUAUGGAGCAAUGCCAGGCUCUUUGACCAGCCCCAGCCCACUCACGGGAACUUGCGGAAUCGUUCAAAGCCAGCAGCCACAUACUGCCCUCUGUUCUGCAGGUCUGCCAGCCAUGGGCUAUCAUCUCUGCAGGGAAGACUGCCUGAGUUUGCUGCGCUCUCUCCUGACUUCUUCAGUAUCAUCUCCUCCCAGAUGGCCUCUUUCUCAGGCUCUUUACAUGGGAAGCAGCUCCACAGUUCCUGCUCUGGAUUUGGUACCCUCUCUCCAGCUUUCCAGGUCUGAUGGGAUUUUACCUUCUGAGAAAUCAGUCAGAAAGUUAUGAGAGCCCCAAGGCUAAACCCUCCAAGUGUCUGGGUGCCAUGAUUUAGCAUACAAGUUGAUGAGGAUUAAGGACUGGGGUGUGAGGAGGUUGAGUCUGCUGCCUUUUCCAAUGAGAAUAGCUUGUCAGCAUGAAGAGUGGAAUCCCCUGCCCAGGUCCUUCUUCCCCCUCUCUUCUACCUCUAGGGUGUGUAGUACCUUUGGGAGAAAUCGGGGCCUGGGAAUCCAGCCCUCAGUCCACUGAAGCGUGCCCAGAUCACCCUCGAUCUCUCGUACAAUAGCCUCAUAUUCAGCUCGAAGACUCUGGAACUGGCGUCGGACCAAGAAGCCCCGGACGCAGGCCUGGUGUGGAGAACGAGGGGAAAGAAAACCCUUAUCACUGCAACAUGGGGGCAUCUUGGGGGAUUCUUCUGGAGAGGUCUGCAAGAGAGGACCCGGCCCCCGGGAGAGGACAGGUGACGCUGUGUGUUGGUGCUCUGGGGGUUCGAGGGAGCGUGCUGGGCUGGAUCCACCUCGUCGAUUAAAGGCCCUUCCCUUCAUUUCCCUGAUCCCGUAGGAGUGUGUAAUGGGAGUGGGGGGCGCGUGAGGGUCCGUGGGGUCCCCGCAU